rnacentral:rRNA from 1 species
UACGUAGGGGGCGAGCGUUGUCCGGAUUCAUUGGGCGUAAAGAGCUCGUAGGCGGCUUGCUAAGUCGGGUGUGAAACCCCCGAGCUCAACUCGGGUCGCCAUCUGAUACUGGUAUGGCUGGAGUCCGGUAGGGACCAUGGAAUUCCUGUGUGAGCGGUGAAUGCGCAGAUAUCGGAGGAACACCGGUGGCGAAGCGGCGACCUGGGUAGAUACGUGACGCUGAGGUGCGAAGCGUGGGAGCAACAGG